GCGGACGGGUGAGUAACGCGUAGGAAUCUACCUAGUAGUGGGGGACAACUCGAGGAAACUCGAGCUAAUACCGCAUACGCUCUAAGGAGGAAAGUGGGGGAUCUUCGGACCUCACGCUAUUAGAGGAGCCUGCGUUAGAUUAGCUAGUUGGUGAGGUAAAGGCUCACCAAGGCUACGAUCUAUAGCUGGUCUGAGAGGACGAUCAGCCACACUGGAACUGAGACACGGUCCAGACUCCUACGGGAGGCAGCAGUAGGGAAUCUUGGGCAAUGGGCGAAAGCCUGACCCAGCGAUGCCGCGUGUGCGAAGAAGGCCUUAGGGUUGUAAAGCACUUUCAGUUGCGAAGAAAAGCUGCGGUUUAUACGCCGCGGUCCUGACGUUAACAACAGAAGAAGUACCGGCUAACUCCGUGCCAGCAGCCGCGGUAAUACGGAGGGUACGAACGUUAAUCGGAAUUACUGGGCGUAAAGCGCGCGUANGCGGUUUGAUAAGUGGGAUGUGAAA
rnacentral:rRNA from 1 species